rnacentral:lncRNA from 1 species
ACCCUACUUUGUGGCUUACUACUAAGGAAUAGCAGGUCUUUUUCUUUUUUCUUUCUUUCUUUCUUUCUUUCUUUCUUUCUUUCUUUCUUUCUUCUUUUUUUUUCCUGUUCAGGAGAUUGAGUAAUUAGACUUAUCACUAUCACAAGGCUUCAGGGAAAGAGCAACAACACUACUCUUCUCCAGGUCUUCUGACUCCGACAUACAUCAACGCUGCUGCUUUCAACCAGAGUUACAGCAAUUUACACCACCAUAUUAUCUACAUUAUAAAGCAUUAGUGACUCACAAAUACAGUAACGAAGAUAGAACAACAGGAUGCAAGAAAAGCAGUAGAGGAAGGCUUCCAUUUCCUCAAGAAAUGAAGCACUGGACUUCUACAAUGACGCUCACCUG